GACGAACGCUGGCGGCGUGCCUAAUACAUGCAAGUCGAACGAGAGCGACCGGUGCUAGCACUGGUCAAUCUAGUGGCGAACGGGUGAGUAACACGUGGGUAACCUGCCCAUCAGAGGGGGAUAACAUCCGGAAACGGAUGCUAAAACCGCAUAGGUCUUCGAGCCGCAUGGCUUGAAGAGGAAAAGAGGCGCAAGCUUCUGCUGAUGGAUGGACCCGCGGUGCAUUAGCUAGUUGGUGAGGUAACGGCUCACCAAGGCCGUGAUGCAUAGCCGACCUGAGAGGGUGAUCGGCCACAUUGGGACUGAGACACGGCCCAAACUCCUACGGGAGGCAGCAGUAGGGAAUCUUCCGCAAUGGACGCAAGUCUGACGGAGCAACGCCGCGUGAGUGAAGAAGGUGUUCGGAUCGUAAAACUCUGUUGUUAGAGAAGAACAAGUGCUAGAGUAACUGUUAGCGCCUUGACGGUAUCUAACCAGAAAGCCACGGCUAACUACGUG
rnacentral:rRNA from 1 species